AAAGGAAUAGACGGGGGCCCGCACAAGCGGUGGAGCAUGUGGUUUAAUUCGAAGCAACGCGAAGAACCUUACCAAGAAUUGACAUCUACCUUUAACUCAUGGAAACAUGGGAAGCUUUCGGGCGAGGUAAGACAGGUGGUGCAUGGUUGUCGUCAGCUCGUGUCGUGAGAUGUUGGGUUAAGUCCCGCAACGAGCGCAACCCUUGCCUUUAGUAACUAGCGCGUUAUGGCGAGGACACUAAAGGGACUGCCGUGGAUAACACGGAGGAAGGUGGGGACGACGUCAAAUCAUCAUGCCCCUUAUGACUUGGGCAACACACGUGCUACAAUGGGGUCAACAAAGUGAUGCAAAGUGGCGACACCUAGCAAACCACAAAAAAGACCCCCCAGUUCGGAUUGUAGUCUGCAACCCGACUACAUGAAGCCGGAAUCGCUAGUAAUCGCGAAUCAGCAUGUCGCGGUGAAUACGUUCUCGGGCCUUGUACACACCGCCCGU
rnacentral:rRNA from 1 species